rnacentral:rRNA from 1 species
UGAGCAAUCUGCCCUUCUCUUUGGAAUAAGCGUUGGAAACGACGUCUAAUGCCGAAUACAACCUCCUUUCGCAUGACCGGAGGUGGAAAGUUCCGGCGGAGAAGGAUGAACUCGCGGCCUAUCAGCUAGUUGGUGUGGGUAAUGGCCCACCAAGGCGACGACGGGUAGCCGGCCUGAGAGGGUGACCGGCCACACUGGGACUGAGACACGGCCCAGACUCCUACGGGAGGCAGCAGUGGGG